GCCCGCCGGCCUUAAAUAAACCUCCUAUCCUCCAAGAUCUCCGGGUGUCGCCUGGAUCUUCCGACCGGCCAUCCAGUCCAGGUUCCGGAACAGAAUCACAAGGCAUGCUGGGAGUGUAAAACACACACCCGAUUUCAGAGACGUGGUCAAGCUGCAACAUCUCAUCCAUCAUUCUUACAUCGAUUACAGAAUGAAAUGAUUACAUUUUUUAAAUACUGGAUUAAACAAAAUACAUUCUUAAAAAUCAUUCUACUUUUUACUUUUAAAUGCUGGCUAUUGGAAAAUCAACUUUGGGGCUCAUGUCCUCUUUCCAGCGGACAGCGCUGAACUGAAAAUUUCUGCAGAGGAAAACAGCUCACAGCCCAAGAGCCAGAGACCAAAGAGCAUUCUGGAACAAGGCAAAGGCCCGCCAAAGGACGAGCUGCGGCUACCUCACCGGGGCAAGUCAACGUGGGAUGAAGGAGUGUGUGGGGAAGCUGUCCAAAGGCUGGUUGCUUCUGCCACAACAAAGGGAAAAGGAAGCCACUUAGAGAAAGAGCAUGUGUUGGUUGGAACCUCAAUGGCCAGCCCAUCUCUGCUGUCUUCAGUCCUGCUGUCCAGUCAUCCCCACCGAUGACAUCUCCUCUUCCUGUAGAAUCUCCUACAAAGACUCUGGGUGCCCAAUCCUGGGACCUAAACCCAUCUACCCUACCUCUCAGAACGGCACAGCCUUGUAUCCAUCCUGCAGACAUAAACCAGACUCUCCUCCAAGUGUAGAAGACACAAUGAUGAACCGUCAGACGAGUCUCCUGUUCCAGUGGGUUCCUGAAUGAGAGAACGCUGGAGACUUCCCAGACUGCCGUGUCCUCAUGGGACUUGCUUUGCGUUGAAUAAACACUUACUGGUUGCCGAAUCCUCAUGAUAAGCCUGAACCCUUAGUCAUUGACUCCUUAAUCGAAAGACAGGUGUUCAAGGCAAGUGAUGAGACAAUCUGUCUUAAUCCGCCAACUUGCAGAUCCCUUUGCUAUGUUAUCCUUAAGCACCUGGCUUCGGAGAGCCCAGAAGCUGGGAAGGAGUGUGAUUAACUCCUACAUGUGCACCUUCCACCCAGCAUGGACCAAGAGGUGAGUGUAGGGUCAGGAGAUGGGUCCCCACGCCCUCCGAAUGGGGCUGCUGACUCCACACCUCUGGGGCGGGUGCGGACACCUUCAGACAAGGUGUGUCUGUGGCUUUGUGCUGUUCCAGCCAAGUGAUGUGUAAGAAUGAGCCCAGCAGCUAGAACAAGAAGGAGUUCAUAGUGUGUCUGGGAGGAGCCAGUGUUGUUCUCCAUGGCCCAGGGACAGUCGGUCAGGGCGAUGUUACCCUGGGCGGUGGUUCUCAAAGUUUGGGUGCAUUCCGGCCACCUGAGAUGUUUGUUCCCGAGGCAGCUUCCCAAGAUGUCACCCCUGGAGCUCUGGCCCCCAACGCGGGGCAGAUUCGGGUGGAGGAAGUUCACGGUUCCUAUGUCAAGAAGCACUGGACAAAUGGGUGAAGAAGUGAGAAAUCUGCGGACAGUCCUUUACCAUCAUGCUUUGCCAUUUACAAUCCGUACUGCUUUGGUCCUUUUUAAACUCAUCAGCAAGUGAUUUCAUUAUAUUUUGAGUAAGGGACAACCUGGUUUUGUGGAAUACGCAUAUUCUUGGCCAUAACAGAAAUCACAUCUCCUUAGUUCUCUUUGUCUAUUUUACAAAUCAGUCCAAAAAAAAAAAAAAAAUGUAUGGCAG